UUACAGGGCUGACAAUUGCAGAUCUUGUGAUGCCGUGGAUUGCUUUAAUCAUUGGAUUAAAUCAGUGGCUCUGGCUUUUUAUGGAAUGUUAAAAAAAGGAGUGAGUUGCAUCCAAUUCUUGAGUAAAUUGACAUGGAGGACCAUCAUUUUAUUGGUGACGGGGGUCGUCUUCUACAACUAUGGACCCACAGAUGGGCCAUUAUUAUAUCCUGGAGAAGCCCACUGGGAUGCGUCAUGACAUAUCUUAAAAGGACCUCGUGGUGCUACACAUGCUUGCCAAAUAGAUGCAUAGUUGCCUCAAAGUCUGUACUAUCAUUCUGCAUCUUUGCAGAAUGCUCUCUAAAGCAUUGUUGUCCCGUG